UACGAAGGGUGCAAGCGUUAAUCGGAAUUACUGGGCGUAAAGCGUGCGUAGGCGGUUCGUUAAGUCUGUCGUGAAAGCCCUGGGCUCAACCUGGGAAUGGCGAUGGAUACUGGCGAGCUAGAGUCAGGUAGAGGGUGGUGGAAUUCCCGGUGUAGCGGUGAAAUGCGUAGAGAUCGGGAGGAACAUCUGUGGCGAAGGCGGCCACCUGGACCAUGACUGACGCUGAGGCACGAAAGCGUGGGGAGCAAACAGG
rnacentral:rRNA from 1 species